rnacentral:tRNA from 1 species
GCUUUUGUGGUGUAACAGGGCAACACGUCCGGCUGGCAUUCGGAAAAUUCUGAGUUCGCGUCCCGGCAAGGGCA